rnacentral:lncRNA from 1 species
UGAGGUUUCAUCCAAUAGUAUGAAAUUACUCAUUUUUCUUUUAUUAGUUACAUGCUGGCCAAAAUUUAAUAAAAUUGUUGACUCCUAGACUUUUCCUAUCUAUACUCCCCUUAUACCUAGCCAACUCCAAAAGCUAUAUAUAUAUAUAUAAUAUAGGGAUCAAUAUAAUGCAUAUAUAAUGUACAUGUAUGUAGCUAAACAUAUGCUACAUACAUACUGUAAUUUAAUUCGUAUCAAAAUGCAUUGAUUAAGAAUAAAUGUACAAAAAAUGACUAGAUAAAAGGAACUGAUGGUGGCGCAGCAGUGUUUUCUCAAGCAGGGAGGCGCAUGAGAAUUGAACAAUAAUAAUCUUUGUCUAUACCAAAAAGAUUUUCUAAAACGAGAAAAAGAGAAAAGAAGAAACUUGGGAUGAAAAUUUAAUUAUGGAUGGGAGGAUUCUUCUUUGCAGGCGUGUAGUCCAUUGUAUCUAUGUCACCACUAAUAAUCUCUUGUGUUCCUUCAUGGUUCCGCUUGAACACAUUACUUUGAUGACCCUUCUCACCAUCAUCAACUCCAUUCUUGUUAGUAGCAAUCUCUCGCAAACUUCUUCCUGCAAUAACCAUACCAAAAGAACCAACACAUAAAUGAUACUAUACUACAUAGAACAUAAUAAUAAUAAAUUAAAUUACUCUCACCUCUAGCUGUCAUGGACAUGAAGCAUAGCAAAAGAAAAGCAACAACAAGAAGAAGGCGAUUCAUUGGUAACAACAACAUAGCCAUGUUAUAUAUAUAAUUCUUACUUAAUAAUAAUAAUAAAUAAUAUAUACCCUCUUAUUACUAUUAUUAUUGUUUUGCUAUUAUUAUUAUAUCUCUAUGGUGUAAACUAAGUAAUACAUACAAAACAUGGUUGCGUGUGUAUAGUUAUAUAUGCUCUUUAUAUAGGUAAAGAGGAGGUU